ACCAAAAUAGUUGUAGCUUAAAUACGGUAGAUCUUUGUUUGUCAGAUAAAAACUGAGAGUGUGCAGCCAGGAUGGGGAAGACGGUCUCACAAUCCUCAGAGCUUUGGAUCCCUCCACGUUGCUUCUUUACCAUCCCCCAUGUGUCUCCCUAGUUUAGCCCAGGUUCCCCAGAAACCAGAGCUUGAGGCAAAAGCAAAGGCACUCACACUUUAUUGGAGAGUACAGCCCCAGGAAGCAAGAUGGAGGGGGAAGGAGAGUGAGGCAGAGGUGGACAGGGUGAACUACAAAGGACUGCAUCACUAAGUUCAUCACAGCUUUUGGCAAAUGCAGCCAACUGUUGGGUCUUGUGGGAUGUUUCCAGAAAGGUCGAUCGGGGCUUGGAUCAGGAAAUGUGGGAGGAGGAAGGGAGAAGAAUUUGUCUGACUGGUCCUCUCUCCCUUUGGUCAAAGUUGACUUUCGCAGGGUCCCUGGACUUCGAGGUGCUACUGUCUGGCAUCUCCUUCAAGGGAAAGCCAGAUCUCCAAACAGCGGCAGAACCAGGCAUGUAGAGCCCAGUGAGUGACUAGGAGUCAGUGGGGCUCUCUACCUUCCCAUCUCAUCCAGGGCACAAUAGGGCCUGGCCUGGAGGACAGUGUCCCCGCUCAGCUCUGCCAGUCAGACUGACACUAUCAUCUCAACCUUAUUGAGGAUGGAUUUAGCAAGCCAAAGCUCCCUGGAAGAGGAAAUUCCUUUCCUGCAGAGCUCUCCAGGAGAAGCAGAGAAAGAUCUCAGCGCUCAGAGAUUAGCUGGGAUUGCUCUGGAGGCAUGUGAUGAUGGUCAUAAUAGCACCAAGGAAUGACAUACUGUUGAUUUGCUCUCAGGCACAGUACCAAGCAUUUGACCUGAAUUAUUCAAUCCACACACCAGUCACAUGAGACGGGUGUUUUUAGUUGUCUCCAUUGUACAGAUGAAGAAACUGAGGUGGAGUGGGGUUAAACCACUUGUCAGGGUCAGUACCAGCAUUGGAUCCCUGCAGCCUGACCUGGGGUCCUCGGCUCUGACCAACUUGGUGAUGUUGUCUUCUCCUGGAAGUUCUUACUGAUCACUUAUAGACAGAUCAGGGAUUUCUUUAUGGCAAGGUAUAUACAAAGGAAAGUGCCGAUAGUCUUUUUAUUUUUAAAACCUUCAAAGAAAGCAGAAAAGUUAGAAGCAGAAACAGAAGAAAAAAAGAUUUAGAUCAAGUAGUAAUUAUUCAAUAAUUCAAGUUUAGAAAGAUACUAGAUUUGGGGCACCUGGGUGGCUCAGUCGGUUAAGUGUCCGACUUCAGCUCAGGUCAUGAUCUCAGUUUGUGAGUUUGAGCCCCGCAACGGGCUCUGUGCUGACAGCUCAGAACCUGGAGCCUGCUUUGGAUUCUGUUUCAUUCUCCUCUGCCCCUCCCCCACUUGUGCUCUGUCUCUCUCAGUCUCUCAAAAAUAAAU